rnacentral:rRNA from 1 species
UAAUACGUAGGGUGCAAGCGUUAAUCGGAAUUACUGGGCGUAAAGGGUGCGCAGGCGGUUCUGUAAGUCAGAUGUGAAAUCCCCGGGCUUAACCUGGGAACUGCGUUUGAAACUGCAGAGCUAGAGUGCGGCAGAGGGAGGUGGAAUUCCAUGUGUAGCAGUGAAAUGCGUAGAGAUAUGGAAGAACAUCGAUGGCGAAGGCAACCUCCUGGGCUAGCACUGACGCUCAUGCACGAAAGCGUGGGGAGCAAACAGGAUUAGAUACCCUGGUAGUCCACGCCCUAAACUAUGUCAACUAGUUGUCGGGCCUUAAUAGGCUUGGUAACGUAGCUAACGCGUGAAGUUGACCGCCUGGGGAGUACGGUCGCAAGAUUAAAACUUAAAUGAAUUGACGG